AGUGAACGCUGGCGGUAGGCCUAACACAUGCAAGUCGAACGGCAGCACAGUAAGAGCUUGCUCUUACGGGUGGCGAGUGGCGGACGGGUGAGGAAUACAUCGGAAUCUACUUUUUCGUGGGGGAUAACGUAGGGAAACUUACGCUAAUACCGCAUACGACCUACGGGUGAAAGCAGGGGAUCUUCGGACCUUGCGCGAUUGAAUGAGCCGAUGUCGGAUUAGCUAGUUGGCGGGGUAAAGGCCCACCAAGGCGACGAUCCGUAGCUGGUCUGAGAGGAUGAUCAGCCACACUGGAACUGCGACACGGCCCAGACUCCUACGGGAGGCAGCAGUGGGGAAUAUUGGACAAUGGGCGCAAGACUGAUCCAGCCAUACCGCGUGGGUGAAGAAGGCCUUCGGGUUGUAAAGCCCUUUUGUUGGGAAAGAAAAGCAGCAGGUUAAUACCCCGCUGUUCUGACGGUACCCAAAGAAUAAGCACCGGCUAACUUCGUG
rnacentral:rRNA from 1 species